CCAGCAAAAUAGAAGUAGAGUGGCGAUAUUCGAUAACUUUCGUUUUCCAAGAAAUUUCCGCUCCUACAGUCUUUAAGCACGAAAGUUAUCAAGCGUCUACUAUUGUGGUUUUUAGACUGUGGGAAACUCUACCAAAAUUUUUCUAUAAUCUGUUUUGGGGGAUUCGAAAUUCAGUGAUAUACAUACCACUCUCAAUUGAAAUGUCUGCGCUAUGUCAAAAUGUCAAUAAUGUAAUGGCAAAGCGCUAUGGAAUUUUAGAUAGUUUGCAAAAAUACUAAGGAAUACAAUCAAUUUAAUUGUCAGAGAAUCAAAAAUAUUCAAUUAUGCUUUAAUAUGUCGCCUCUGAUGGACCAGAAUAAACAUAUCCACAUUAAGCAAGGACAUCAAUUUAUUUAUAUAUUAAACUCAGAUGAUAUUUAAGAUGAUCUUAAACACGUGUAAGUUAUAGUGACACAUUCAAGUGUUGUAUAAAAUUUGACCAAGUUUACGAGAGUCUGUAAAGAUAAAAAAUCUGAUUGCGAGUCAGAACAGAGAGGAACCUGAGA